rnacentral:rRNA from 1 species
AGAGUUUGAUCCUGGCUCAGAGCGAACGCUGGCGGCAGGCCUAACACAUGCAAGUCGAACGGAUCCUUCGGGAUUAGUGGCGGACGGGUGAGUAACACGUGGGAACGUGCCCUUUGGUUCGGAACAACUCAGGGAAACUUGAGCUAAUACCGGAUGUGCCCUUCGGGGGAAAGAUUUAUCGCCAUUGGAGCGGCCCGCGUCUGAUUAGCUAGUUGGCGGGGUAAAGGCCCACCAAGGCGACGAUCAGUAGCUGGUCUGAGAGGAUGAUCAGCCACAUUGGGACUGAGACACGGCCCAAACUCCUACGGGAGGCAGCAGUGGGGAAUCUUGCGCAAUGGGCGAAAGCCUGACGCAGCCAUGCCGCGUGAAUGAUGAAGGUCUUAGGAUUGUAAAAUUCUUUCACCGGGGACGAUAAUGACGGUACCCGGAGAAGAAGCCCCGGCUAACUUCGUGCCAGCAGCCGCGGUAAUACGAAGGGGGCUAGCGUUGCUCGGAAUUACUGGGCGUAAAGGGAGCGUAGGCGGACUGUUAAGUUAGAGGUGAAAGCCCAGGGCUCAACCUUGGAAUUGCCUUUGAUACUGGCAGUCUUGAGUACGGAAGAGGUAUGUGGAACUCCGAGUGUAGAGGUGAAAUUCGUAGAUAUUCGGAAGAACACCAGUGGCGAAGGCGACAUACUGGUCCGUUACUGACGCUGAGGCUCGAA